GCUAUCGGAUGAGCCUAUGUCGGAUUAGCUGGUUGGUGAGGUAAUGGCUCACCAAGGCGACGAUCCGUAGCUGGUCUGAGAGGAUGAUCAGCCACAUCGGGACUGAGACACGGCCCGAACUCCUACGGGAGGCAGCAGUGGGGAAUAUUGGACAAUGGGCGCAAGCCUGAUCCAGCCAUGCCGCGUGUGUGAAGAAGGCCUUCGGGUUGUAAAGCACUUUCAGUGGGGAAGAAGGCCUUUCGGUGAAUAGCCGGGAGGAGCGACAUCACCCACAGAAGAAGC
rnacentral:rRNA from 1 species